GCUUAAUUUCUUACUGAGGAGGGGGCCCUCAAAGAAGGAUGGCGCUAGAAAGGGGAAGGUUACUAGGACCAACGAAGUCAGAAGUGAUAAUGAAUAAGUACCGUGAGGGAAAGGUUAAACCGUUAAGGAAUAGAAAAGUAGAGGUUAAAUCUCGUACCUUUUGAAUCAGGGUUUAUCAAAAAUAGAAGGUGAAAGAACCUUUAUCCCGAAGUUGAAUGAGCGAUAUAAAGGAAGGUUAGGUGUGGUAUAAUCUAAAACAACUAUUUAUAUAGGGAUGAAAUGUUAUUCAAAUUUGACGAUUUCUGGUUUCUUGGGAAACAAAUGAAAUUUGGCCGUUACUGAGAAAAGAAGUAUUGAUCAAGAGCGAGUGCUGCGGUUCAGGAUUACCUGGAUUGUUGAUUUUACAACGAAAAAUUCAGAGGAAAGAGAUGAGGCUUGAAAGUGGCUAUAUUUAAUGUUUUUAAUAAAUGAAACUCGGGGGGGAGACAUUUAUUUUAAGUUUAAAGUAGUACCAAGAUGCUUGGCGAAAUUAUAAGGCCAAGGUAAUCAUGAUGGAAUUAGUAAAAUUUAAUUGUUGGGAAGGUUACGAUUAGUAAUUUGAGGUUAAGGAAUUCGGCAAAGCUAGUUGGUUCAACUGUUUAUCAAAAACAUUGUUUUUUGGUUUCAUGAAAAGUAAGACCUGCACCCUGAACGGGAACGUUUAAAGAGCCGCGGUAUUUUGACCGUGCAAAGGUAGCAUAAUCAAUAGCCUUUUAAUUGGUGGCUGGAAUGAAAGGUUCAAUGUAACCUGGACUGUCUCUACCUCAAUCUUGAAGUUAAUGUUUUUGUUAAAAAGCAAAGAUUCCUUUAGUAGACGAGAAGACCCUAUAGAUUUUGAUUGAUCAGAUCCAAGGGGGCUUUAGGGAAAAGUUUCCAAUGAUUGGAUAAAUUUCGUUGGGGCGACGGGGAAAGAAAAAAAGCUUUCUCUUUUUCAAAUGCCAUAGGCAGGUGCAGGACCCAGGUUGUCUGGUAAAAAGAAAUAAAUACCUUAGGGAUAACAGCGUAAUCAUUUUUGAGAGUUCAAAUCGGCGAAAGGGAUUGCGACCUCGAUGUUGGAUUAAGGAAAAACCCAGGUGCAGAAGUUUGGGAGUUAGGUCUGUUCGACCUUUAGAUCCUUACAUGAUCUGAGUUCAGACCGGCGUAAGCCAGGUCGGUUUCUAUCUUUAAAUUAAAAUCAUUGACUUAGUACGAAAGGACCCGUUAAUGGAAACAUUUUCAAUGGGAGGAAGAACAAAAUUAGGAAAGUAAGUGUUU
rnacentral:rRNA from 1 species